GACUUCUGGUACAAUGCACCUGGCCCGCGGCUAGGAGGCCUGUGUGUGCCGGAGCGCGUUUACCAUCCUUCUGGGCAACAAGUCUUCCCUUCACUGGGCCGGAUUUGUGAUCCAGAUCUUUUACUUCGAAAAAAUUAGAGUGUUUAAAGCAGGCUAUUGCAUUGAAUACAUUAGCAUGGAAUAAUAAUCUAGGAUCGGUUCUAUUUUGUUGGUUUCUAGAACUGAAGUAAUGAUUGAUAGGGAUAGUUGGGGGUGCUAGUAAGGUGAAAUUCUUGGAUUCGGUCAAGACUAACUUAUGCGAAAGCAUU
rnacentral:rRNA from 1 species